GUUAAAGCUGCAAAGAAGGCCAUUAUUGAAGGUAUAUCGUACAUGAAAUUCAAUUUACUUCCUUUUGUUGAUCUAGACACUACACUUGGAUCAGGCUAUUAAGCUAGAAGAUUCACCUUCUGACGUUUUCGUCAUCUUACUUUACAAGUUUAUAUAUAUUAAGUCACACAUUUUCAGUUUUAUCUUCUGUAAAGAAAUGGGUUGAGUCUAUAUCAUUUUUUCUUUGAAUUGUUUCUCUGGCUGCAGUGAUGAGAUUAUGGUACAAACUUUAAAUUGUUUCUCUGGCUGACAUUCUGAAAUGCACGUGACGUUUCUGAAAAAUGGUGAUGGUUUUUCUUUAUCUUGUAUGCUGUAUUCCAAUUUCAAGGGGGACAUGAUCUAAUAGAAAAUAUUCUCCUUUUAUACUUGUUUUCUCAUAAAUUAGCAUGUUGACUGUCUGCAAAUUAUAUGUUUCUCGUGUGCUUCUUUGAUGCUCUUUGCUCUUCAAUUAUUCUUAUUAUUAUGCCCAUCUAAUGUUACUACAUUGAUAAUUGGUAAGCUUUUGCUUAUGCUUAUUUUGUUUGAUUUGCUGUAGUCGCAACUUUGUUUAUAUGUUCUUCUUCAACUGCUUGUCACACAGUUGAGCAUUUAGUAUAUAGCCCUGCUUUACCAUUAGAACUUGGACCUAGUAUAGUGAUUAUGGCCAUGAUAGCAAUAAUAUCUUCCAAGGCUGGUAUAAUGGCUGACAUAUUUGGUUUGGUUGAGGAAAACUUUUUGUUGUAGCAUAGACCACUAAGAUUUAAUUGCUUGCUUAGGGAAAAGAUGCCUGCAGUUAUGCGCCUUAUCUUAAUAAUCUAGAUCAUGCAGUGAUGAAGUGUCAGUUCUGCAUGCAAAUGUACCCUUCCCUUUGAUCUGUGUACUAGAAAUGUACUUUGAUGUACUGUUGAUGCUAUCAAUUACUGGGAACGAUGCUGCUUAAAACUUUUAUAGGCUGCGAUUAUGAACUAUCAGUAUGUAACGUUUGGGAUAAAUUGAGUUACUGUUUCCUAAGUGGUGAUUUCCCUUUUUUUCAUUUGCUGCACCUUUGCAAGAAUAAUGCACAUAAAUGGGUUACUUGUUAAGCAUGGUAGAGUUGAUGUUAAUGCAAGGAUCCUUUAUAUAGAUUAACAUCCAUUGGACUUUCACAAUUUUCACUUACUGUUCUGGGUAUUGUUUCACGUGCAACUCUCAAGACUUCGCAUUAGAAUAAAAUGCCCACAUGUUGAACUAUGAAUGUAGUGUUGGGCUGUGUCCAUGCCUGGACAGUGAAGUUAAUUUUUAAGAUAAAUCACACUUUUAGUCUGUGCUGAAUGUGUGUUCUUUACCCAUGCUCUUAAAAAGCCCAUACUGAAAUGAAAAACUGCUGCUAUUCAUCUUUGCCUUAAAUGAGCAUUUAUCAUCUUACUGUAAUGCAGGUUGCGUUAAUUCCAACACCAGACGUCCACUCUUUUAAACAUACAAAGAAAGGUAUUUGGAGCAGGUGAUGCUGUUGAAUUUGUUCAGAAUCAGUUGAAGGAGACCUCUUCAGCCUCGCUUGCUGUGCGCCGCCUCGUGAAGGAAGCUGUUCGUGAACGGCGAUGCAAGGAUAACUGCGCUGCUGUUUUGAUUGUCUUUAAACACUAGAGACCUAGCUUCUCAUUUUCACCGAACUGAACUGAGGAAAAGAAUUAGCUGACAAAGUCUAAUUGAAGCUAAAUGAACCAGGAAUUCUGUUUGUAUUUGUUGUUACUUACUUCUGAUGGGCCUAUUAAUACACAAUUGGAAAUCCGGCUU